UACGUAGGGUGCGAGCGUUAAUCGGAAUUACUGGGCGUAAAGCGUGCGCAGGCGGCUUUGCAAGACAGAUGUGAAAUCCCCGGGCUUAACCUGGGAACUGCAUUUGUGACUGCAUGGCUGGAGUGCGGCAGAGGGGGGGAUGGAAUUCCGCGUGUAGCAGUGAAAUGCGUAGAUAUCGAGAGGAACACCUGCGGCGAAGGCGGGUUGCUGGGCUGACACUGACGCUGAGGCACGAAAGCUAGGGUAGCAAACGGG
rnacentral:rRNA from 1 species